rnacentral:rRNA from 1 species
CCUACGGGUGGCAGCAGUCGAGAAUCAUUCACAAUGGGGGAAACCCUGAUGGUGCGACGCCGCGUGGGGGAAUGAAGGUCUUCGGAUUGUAAACCCCUGUCAUGUGGGAGCAAAUUAAAACGCUAGUACCACACUAGGAAGAGACUGCUAACUCUGUGCCAGCAGCCGCGGUAAUACAGAGGUCUCAAGCGUUGUUCGGAAUCACUGGGCGUAACGCGUGCGUAGGCUGGUUCGUACGUCGUGUGUGAAAGGCGCGGGCUCAACCCGCGGACGGCACAUGAUACUGCGAGACUCGAGUAAUGGAGGGGGAACCGGAAUUCUAGGUGUAGCAGUGAAAUGCGUAGAUAUCGAGAGGAACACUCGUGGCGAAGGCGGGUUACUGGACAGUAACUGACGCUGAGGCACGAAGGCCAGGGGAGCGAAAGGGAUUAGAUACCCCAGUAGUC